AAAACUGGAUCAAACUAGCAAUUAGUCAGUCAGGUCCAGCUGCAAUGCUAAAACAAAAAGGACUUGUGCACUUCCAUGAACACACAGGGAGAAACUGUGCUCGGGGUUGUUUUUCUCUCAUCUCCUUGAUUUUCUCAAGAGAGCUGUUGUCUUAAGGUGGACAGAUUUUGCUGCAGGCCAGUUUGUUUUCACUUAGCAGCUUAGUGUCCUCUCCAACAACACUUAGCUCUGACCCGAGAGCUGCACCUUUUCACUCCGGCUGAUAUCUUCUUUGGCAGAUUACAGCACAGAAGGUAAAAAUAAUGAAGAGGCUGAACUGCUUUCUUUGUACUUCCUAGGCUCUGCGUGAGGAUAAUGCUACAGAAUCUGUGACUCUACUCAACUUCCAGGCAACACCAUCACAGGUGUCAGACAUACAAUAACUCAACUAUGGUGGGAGCAGCACAGUGGGUCAGCCAACACGUUGCCAUGGAAACUCAAGAGUUUCAGCGUUGAAAAGAGGAACAGUUACCUCCUCUAGCUUGUAUGUGAUCAUGGUGAAAGCUCUGAAGACGCUGUCUGUGGAGCCAGUGAUGGUGAU